GACGAACCAUGCAAACGUUAUUCGGAAUCACUGGGCUUAAAGCGUGCGUAGGCGGCUCAGAAAGUUGGGUGUGAAAUGCCUCGGCUCAACCGAGGAAUUGCGCCCAAAACUACUGAGCUCGAGGGAGUUAGAGGUGAGCGGAACUCACGGUGGAGCGGUGAAAUGCGUUGAUAUCGUGAGGAACACCGGAGGCGAAAGCGGCUCACUGGGGCUUCACUGACGCUGAGGCACGAAAGCUAGGGGAGCAAACGGG
rnacentral:rRNA from 1 species